rnacentral:rRNA from 1 species
CACGCGGCAAGCGAGACAGGGUCCAGACGCCUACGGGAGGCAGCAGUGGGGAAUAUUGGACAAUGGGCGAAAGCCUGAUCCAGCCAUGCCGCGUGUGUGAAGAAGGUCUUCGGAUUGUAAAGCACUUUAAGUUGGGAGGAAGGGCAGUUACCUAAUACGUGAUUGUUUUGACGUUACCGACAGAAUAAGCACCGGCUAAC